rnacentral:rRNA from 1 species
AUUGAACGCUGGCGGCAGGCCUAACACAUGCAAGUCGAACGGUAGCACAGAGAGCUUGCUCUCGGGUGACGAGUGGCGGACGGGUGAGUAACGUCUGGGAAACUGCCCGAUGGAGGGGGAUAACUACUGGAAACGGUAGCUAAUACCGCAUAACGUCGCAAGACCAAAGUGGGGGACCUUCGGGCCUCACACCAUCGGAUGUGCCCAGAUGGGAUUAGCUAGUAGGUGGGGUAAUGGCUCACCUAGGCGACGACCCCUAGCUGGUCUGAGAGGAUGACCAGCCACACUGGAACUGAGACACGGUCCAGACUCCUACGGGAGGCAGCAGUGGGGAAUAUUGCACAAUGGGCGCAAGCCUGAUGCAGCCAUGCCGCGUGUAUGAAGAAGGCCUUCGGGUAGUAAAGUACUUUCAGCGGGGAGGAAGGCGGUGAAGUUAAUAGCUUCACCGAUUGACGUUACCCGCAGAAGAAGCACCGGCUAACUCCGUGCCAGCCGCCGCAGUAAGAC